AACCUCCCUAUUUUCCUAUUCCGGUUACAUGGGAGUCUAAUUUAAUCAGCUUAGCUUCUCUUUUUUGGAAUAUCUUGUGACUUGUGCUUGUAAAUCUAUAUGGUAUGAAGUGAUGAAAUGCUUCUAUGCUUUGGCUUUCUGACUAUUUUAGGUGAAAUGCUUCUUAUAAGUUUUGGUCUGAUUGCAAAGUUGAUUUUAGAUGUGUACAAACAGCUUGCCUUUCACUGUGAAAUAUCAACUGUCAACGCAGUCUUCAUAGUUUCAUCAUCUAAUAUGGAUUCUCUAAUUUGCUCAGGCUCCGUUGCCGAAAAAUUACUCAUAUUUUAGUCAUACAACUGCUACCAGCAGCCUAUUACAUUUGCGAAGAAGCUCUUCAGCGAGAAUCUUAUCCCUCUUAAAUGUGACCCGCUAUUCUACUUGCUCUGGUCAAGACUAUGGCUCGUCCUCAAAGCGAAGAUCACGUGGACCUGUCAUGAAUUAUGAUGAACAAUAUUUUAUUUGGUUUGAUGUAGAAUGUUUGUAUAAUGGAUACUUUUUCAAUGUAGAAUGAUAAAGAAUAUUUGAAAUUAAUGAAUGACAUUUUUAUUAUUCGUG
rnacentral:lncRNA from 1 species